rnacentral:rRNA from 1 species
GCCAUGCCGCGUGCAGGAUGACGGUCCUAUGGAUUGUAAACUGUUUUUGUACGGGAAGAAACACUCCGACGUGUCGGAGCUUGACGGUACCGUAAGAAUAAGGAUCGGCUAACUCCGUGCCAGCAGCCGCGGUAAUACGGAGGAUCCAAGCGUUAUCCGGAAUCAUUGGGUUUAAAGGGUCCGUAGGCGGUCUGGUAAGUCAGUGGUGAAAGCCCAUCGCUCAACGGUGGAACGGCCAUUGAUACUGCUGGACUUGAAUUACUGGGAAGCAACUAGAAUAUGUAGUGUAGCGGUGAAAUGCUUAGAGAUUACAUGGAAUACCAAUUGCGAAGGCAGGUUGCUACCAGUGGAUUGACGCUGAUGGACGAAAGCGUGGGUAGCGAACAGGAUUAGAUACCCUGGUAGUCCACGCCGUAAACGAUGGAUACUAGCUGUUGGGAGCAAUCUCAGUGGCUAAGCGAAAGUGAUAAGUAUCCCACCUGGGGAGUACGUUCGCAAGAAUGAAACUCAAAGGAAUUGACGGGGGCCCGCACAAGCGGUGGAGCAUGUGGUUUAAUUCGAUGAUACGCGAGGAACCUUACCAAGGCUUAAAUGCAGACUGACCGAUUUGGAAACAGAU